rnacentral:lncRNA from 1 species
AAACGGUGGUAGAUUUCUGGAAAAUGAUCUGGCAGGAGGAAGUUCUGAUCGUUUGCAUGCUGAUGAAGAUCACCGAGGGUGGACAGAAAAUAUGCAAGCAGUAUUGGCCAGAAAUUGGAAAUACAGUGGAACACGGUCGGGUAACAAUUUUGAACGUAAAGCAGCGCGUCUACGCCGAUUACACUCACAGAAUUUUCCAGGUGACAAAGUGCUACGAAACAUACUCGCGACAAGUAUGUUUUAAUCACCUAAUCCGAUAUCUCCGGCAUCAGCAUUUCUUGGCAUUCCACUGUCUCUCUACCGUAGAUUCACCACCUUCACGGGAUGGCCGAAACAAGAAGUGCCGAUGUACUGGCAUUCCGUCGUCGAAUAUUUCAAUGAGCUGAGGGGUCGUUCCUCGGGACCGGGACCCAUACUCGUUCACUGUGCUACGGGCACGGGCCGAACCGGAACCUUUAUUCUUUGCGACAUCGGUCUCCAUUCCACCGCCGCUGAAGGGAGGCCGACAAGAUGUACACUGCUCGGGCAAAUAUGUUGGAGAAUUUGCAGCAAUACAUAUUGGCGCACUUACUGCCCAUGCAAUGCUUGCUUACGUUGCCCGCGAAACUGAGUUGCAGUCACGUCUCCAGGGCGGAAAUUGAAAAAAUGAAGAUAGACUUGAGGACCCAUAUGCGGAGGCUCGGAAACUUUGUUUGGAAGGAACAAGCUCUACGACCUUCGUGCGAACCGCUGAAGUCACCGAAUCCAGAUCACUUGCAGAAAAACAGAUUUCCGAAAUUCAUACCAGUGACUGAUAGUUUGGUCAGCCUCAAGCGGUAUCCACCUGAUGCAACCGACAGCGAUUACAUCAGCGCGGUGAGCAUCGAUGGGGUCAAGGUUAAAGGACAGUAGCUGGCCUCCCAAUUGCCUCUACGGCCGACCCUUUCCGAUUUCUGGCGACUGGUUGCCGAGAAACGAACUGAACUCAUUGUAAUCCUGCAAAGACCCAGACCGGAAAGUCUCAUUUGCAGGAUUGCGUCGACAUCAUUCCCCGGAAGAUGAGUACGCUCAGACCUGUGCCUCACAUUGAGGUGAAAACGAAAACAUUAGAUCACUCUAACGAACAUUUCACAACGGAUAAACUCCAGCUGACCGACACGUCCGAGGAAGAACCAAGAACGCAAAAUAUCACUGUACUGACCUGCAAGGGCUGGAACCUCUCUGAAGACGAAGAUCCUCCACAGCCUAAGGUCCUGGUCAAACUAUACAUGGCCUCGGAAAGGGUUCAACGGGUAUAAAGUCCUACCCUCGUUCUCUGUUAUGACGGCGUCACAGAGUGCGGGCUGUACUUGGCUCUGAGCAUCCUACUGGAACGUAUGUCCGUUGAGCAGGAGUGUGACGUAAUUUCGGCGGUCCAUGCGAGACGCCAAUUCAGACGAGAGUUCGUUUACUCUAAAGCUCAGUUCGAGUACUUGUACGAUGCGGCACUAGAGUUUGUUCAAGACUUUGGAAAUUACUCCAACAUGGCGUUACGUCCGGUAGUGUCCCGGACAGCUACUUUCAUCUCUUAACCAUGUGAUCUCAUACUUCUCGCCCUGUCUCUCCAUCUCUCACGUCCUUUCGAAAUCGCCCGUAGGUACCUGAAACGCAUCUACUCGCUUACUUGCGAUUCCUCACUUUACUCAGGCCUUCGCCAAACCUCCCCCGUUUUUAUACUUCACUCGCUCUUCAACCAAAUUUCUUUAGAUGGGCUAUGAGACCUUGUUAUAAUCUAUUCCGCACUCAUAAAUAAAUCAGAUAUGCCAUACACCUUCAAUCCACCAAUAUCCCAUUAAUAUUUUCCUGUGAAACAUCACUUCCGCAACACAUAUCAACCGAAACAUCAUAAAAACCUAGAGGUAAGAUCACUUUACGCUGGAAAAGAGCCUUCAACAAAAUCAAUAAUCCCCAACGGAUGUAUGUACCUAACAAUGACCUUAUUUGCACCAGAAGAUGCUUGGAGACAGUAUAAAUCACGCUCUACUGUGUCAGAUUAAUGUCUAA